UUUUCACACUUUGUUAGCCUCACUGCUAUAAUUAGUUUCAAUCUCCUAGAUUGCAUAGCACAACUUAUGCCAGUAACACCAAAAAUACACACACACACACACACACACACACAUGCACACACAACAUAAACACAUGUAAAUGUAACUAAAACCUACCAGAAAUCAUAUAUCUUGUUCAGAAGUGUUUUAAUAAGUCAAAUGCAUGAAAAAUAGCUAAUUAUAUAAAAUUUAUCUUUUUAAAAUUGCAUUGAAAUGGCUGAUAGAAGAGGAUACAAAGGGACCCUCCCCACAUUGAUCCUCCCCACCUCCCAGCCUUUACCCAGAGAUAGUUGUAGAAUUAGUCCUAUAGGGCAGGAAUGGAAAGGCCAGGCUCAUCCAUGUGAGGAGAGAGCAGGUAAGUUGUGGGUUUUUUGAGGGGAAUCUACUGUUUCAUUUAAAAAAUGUCAACAUAAAACAAACAAACAAAGACUAUAUAGGGGACAUUUCACAUUUUAUCUGCACCUACCUAAAGCAUUUGAGUAUUAUUGUCCAGAACUUGCUGUAUAUUCUUUAGUUGUUUCUUUUCCAUGCAUCCUUUUUCUUUGAGGUUUUCCUCAAGAGCAGAAUGCUUCUAAGUUGCUAGACAAAUUCUUGAUAACCCAAUAAGGCCACCAGUCAGUAUGUUUCCUGUCUCCCUACUAGGAGCAGUUUGAACAUCUUUGUCCAAUUUCUGGAAUAAAACAUCUGAGAAAUGACAGUUCACAGUAUAUGUUAAAACAAAUAAAUUUUCUGUCCAAUUCCUGGAAUAAAACAUGAGAAAUGACAGUUCACAGUAUCCGUUAAAACAAAUAAAUUUACAGGAAUACUUAAAAUUCAUACAAUGUGAGAUUUUUUCCAGAAACAAGUCAUACCCACUCAUUCCUAAGUUAACCAACAGGACACAGCCCUGGUGAUGGCUUUCUGAGGAUGACACGAUGGAGGCUUCUCCAAUAGCUCUAAAACUGCGGUGUGGAAAACAUUCGGCAGCCUCAAAGAGCGGUCUUGUUGACCCCAACUAUAUCAUUUUUCAUCAAAAUCAUUCUUGUAAAGAAUGACCAGGCAACACUCUUUGAAAAUUGGAGGCCAUUUGCAGCUGCUCUCUGUUGAGGAAAGUGAAUAAUAGGGUGCCCUCAAGGAAUUGCAAAGGUAUCACUCAACAGAAACUUUCGUGUCUGAAGAAAACUAGAUCAUUUUAUCAUGGUAGGCAUGCUGAUAUGUUUGCUUUAAUAAAAUGCCAUAUUUCUGCCUUUAAUCUCUUGUCAACCCGCUAUUAAAAAGCCCCAAAGUGCAUGUGUGCAGCGCAUGUAAACACUUGUGGUUUUGAGGUUACCACAGAACAUACUAAUAAAGCAUGUAAUUUGUGUUUUGUGCACAGACUGUAAUAAUUUAUUGAGUGGUACAGAGAAGCUAGAAAAGGAUUUUCUCUAACUUUUGCCAGCAAGUCAAUUUAUUUUUAGUGCUCUAUGCAGAAGUACAUGUAUACACAUGUUCUUAUGAUUACAUCAUGUUUAAAAAGCAUUAGGGAGCCUGCAUAACAAAAUGGGACAAAACAUAAAUUCAUUUUGCACAUACGGAAGACAUUCUAUCAAGCAUGCUAAUGUUCCUCCUAUAAGCUGAUCAGCUGGGAGGUGUGGCAUAUAUUCUUCCACAAAGGGUGUGUGUUUGUGUGUGUGUGUGUGUGCAUGUUUGUGUGCGUGUUGAGCACUGACAAUACAUUAGCAGAGUAUAGAUCAAGUAAGUUCAAGUAAAUUAAGACGAAUAAUAAUAGCAAGAACUUUUAUAAACUUUACCAACUUUAUCCCCAGUCCCCCUGGGGGAGGAGGGCAGAGAACAAUGUUGUUCCUUCUUUUAUAUGGAAUAACAAAACGUAUAAUGGUUGGGUCACUUCUAGAGGGUCCUAGAAGAGCUCAUUGCCAGACUACAGCUUCCACCAUGAUUGUUUGGGUAGCCAAUUUAUCUGUUUAUGUAAGAUCCUUACAGGUAAGAACCAUCAGGUUGUAUACCACUUAGCUUUUUGCUUUCACUUCUUCCCUUGUGAGGUUCCUUGCACACAACAAAUCAUCCACACAGAUGCAUAAUUUGAAAGGAAAGGUCUUGAGCUUAUGGAAGAAAUACAUACCAGUUUCUGGAAAAUUCUGUGAAAUUCUGUAGUUGGAAAAUAAUUCUGUGAAAUUCUAUGCUUUAUUUACUCAAACAAAAAACACAUUCAGUUUAGAAAUAACGUCUGUGCCCAGAAGAAAUAGGUGUUAGAUACUCAAAACGUGUUUAUUCCAAAAAGAUGCAAGAUUUCUCUCCUGGAAAGCAAUUCACCACUCUCUAUGCUUCUUUUUCUUUCUGAGAAGUCUUAUACACAUAACAGUUUUCAAUGCACAGAUGGAUCUUCUGUGGUUCACAACCUUUUACAUUUGAGGGCUAAUUAAAAUGAAUCCUUUGUGCCACCUCUAAGAUACAACUCACUCCUUCAUGUUGUUCAUUGACUAAGAUCUAAUAAACCAGUUCCAAUUCAUAACUAGGGAUUAUUGAACUUCUUGUGGCCAUUGGCUAUCAUAGAGGCAUUGUGAAAAUCUCUAAGGAGACAAGUGCACAGCAGCCUGGCCCGGAGGGUCCUCUUAUUUGAAGUAGAACUCAAGUUGCACCCAAUUAUGUAAGGCUGAUCCAACCCAGAAAAGAGUUUUCUGCAAGAGAUUAAGCCAAUUCUCCAGAACUCUAAGGAGGAAAUCAAGAUCCUUGUGGCUGUUUGAUCACUUCUGUGAUUUGAAUGUCUCCACGGUUUAAUCAUUUGCUUACAUAAUGAGGACAUUACAGAGAGAAGAGAUGA
ensembl:lncRNA HULC hepatocellular carcinoma up-regulated long non-coding RNA